CCCCGACGUGCUGAUUUUGUUUGUAGUGUGUAUAGUGACGGUGGUGCCGUGGACGGUGCGCCAUAACACACUACAAACAAAAUCAUUUUCUUUGACAGCACAUUGCAAUCGGAAAUUGCGGAAGAAAACAACCGAUGGUGGUUCUACGAUUACUUCGAAUGUCAUAAGAUUUCUGCAUCGAUGACUGACGUCUUGGCAGCGCGCUCCUUCCUUGCACUGUUGAAACACGCCAGCAGGUUCAUUAGCAUUCUGCAAGGACGAUCGGCAGCAGCGACGGGCAGACAUUUAAAGUUUCUCGAGCUCGCCCUUAUUUUCCACAAGAAUACGAGCCACUUCAACUGAAUACCAAGUGGACAAGUGGCAAAAUAUCAAAGCAUCAAAUGGAGACGAGAGAAUGAGGGGGCGGUUUACCGCAGAUGGUCAUCGACUUUUGCAUAUCUACCACUCUGCCAGUAGCUGAAGAUAAAGAAAAAAGGGAAAAAGACGAAAAAAUCAUGAAAGCUCAAAAGCUGCUGCCACUCCCGUAUUUGCAUAUUUGAAAAAUGCAAAUAUAAAAAGAAGAAAAACCAGUUUGUCGAUCGCCUUAUUGUUUGAUUGUGCGCAAUACACUGGCAAACGGGGGAACAUGCAAGAGACAAAGAAAAUCGCGACGCAGAAACGACGUACCGUACGGCAGUAUACAGUACACACGCAGAAAGAAAGGCAUAAUAAGUCAGUUUGUGGCCCACUCAGCCAAGCGAAUUAAUGGAAGUAAAGGCAAACUGCAGCUUGUCAAGGCAACCGAACGCACAUUGGGGUCGUAGCAGCGAGCAAUCGAAGGAGAAGUUAAAAAGUUGGACAAGAAGAAACGGGAAGCAAUGGAACAGUUGGUAUACAUAAAGACUCAAUCGGCGAUAUAAUCAGCCAGAAGUUCCGUGAAAUUUACAACAUACACUUGUCUGCCGGCUGGUUGAAAGUUUCGUAUAUAACUAAGGGCCGACAUAAGACUACAGAUGAAAGUUGAGAAAAGGAAGAAAACUUUGUUCUUUGCUAUACGCGGCCAAAGUAAGACUACUGUUGCCGUAGACGUCUAAUCAUUUUCAGACUCGUUGUUGAUUCUGGUGCCGGUGCCGAUCGAGAUUUAAGACUAGGAUCGUCGCUGAUGUCCGGGAUGCUAAUGUUCAAAGGAAACUAGCCAGCAUGUCUUGUUCUCCUUCUCCUCAACAUUCAAGCUCAUCGUGUUCAAAAGGCGCGCACGCUCAAAAGGACGGCGGUGGUGGUGGCUGCUGUGUGUAGGUAUGUUUCCGUCGCGAUCACGGAAGAUUGAUUUAGCAGUAUUAGUGCACAACAAACGGAGGGAGAGAGAGAAUAAGCUGCCGUCUAAACAGGAUUUCCAGGCUUCAUGACAAAGGACACGUCUAAUUAAAUUCCGGAAGAGAGAGAGAGAGAGAGAGAGACUUGCUGCUACUGCCCAUUCUAACAGAUACCCGGUAUCCUUGUCGCAAUCAGACAGACAAUGCUGCAAUAUCAGAUACCGUAGCACUUUCCGGCUGAAGAGAAUGUCGUCUCCACUUUCUAGACAAACAACAGUGAUAACUACUUUUAUUUUUUUUUACGUAUCAAUACAUCAUAUCGGCUUGAUUAAACAGCA
rnacentral:lncRNA from 1 species